rnacentral:misc_RNA from 1 species
UUUCCGUAGGUGAACCUGCGGAAGGAUCAUUACUGAAUAUCCCAGGUCCGAGGGCUGUUGUUGACCCGAACGGUCGUUCAUGCCCGAGUGCCCCCCCACACACCCAUCUCACCCCUACCAGCACCACCGCGGGGGCCCCCCCCUCGUUUGUUUGCAGGGGGGCUUACGUUUUCACACAAACUCUGCAUGCAGAGAAGUAUGAAUUACUGGUCUUUUCGAUCUCGCAAUCAAUACAACUUCCAACAACGGAACUCUCGGCCGUCGCAACGAUGAACAACA